UGGGGGAUAGCCAUCCGAAAGGGUGAUUAAUACCGCAUAUGAUCGAGAGAUCAAAGGUGCCUUCGGGUGCCGCUCCAGGAUGGGCUCGCGGCCUAUCAGCUUGUUGGUGAGGUAAUGGCUCACCAAGGCUACGACGGGUAGCUGGUCUGAGAGGAUGAUCAGUCACACUGGAACUGAGACACGGUCCAGACACCUACGGGUGGCAGCAGUCGAGAAUCAUUCGCAAUGGACGAAAGUCUGACGGUGCGACGCCGCGUGGAGGACAUGAAGGCUCUAGGGUCGUAAACUCCUGUCAUCGGUGAGUAAGGCACGGGUGCUAAAACCAUCCGUGAUUGAUAGUAGCCGAAGAGGAAGAGACGGCUAACUCUGUGCCAGCAGCCGCGGUAAUACAGAGGUCUCAAGCGUUGUUCGGAAUCACUGGGCGUAAAGCGUGCGUAGGCGGUGGGGUAAGUCAGAUGUGAAAGCCCGGGGCUCAACCUCGGAACUGCAUCCGAUACUGCCUUACUAGAGUAGUGGAGGGGAGUCUGGAAUUCUCGGUGUAGCAGUGAAAUGCGUAGAUAUCGAGAGGAACACUAGUGGCGAAGGCGAGACUCUGGACACUUACUGACGCUGAGGCACGAAGGCUAGGGUAGCGAAAGGGAUUAGAUACCCCUGUAGUCCUAGCAGUAAACGGUGCUCGCUUGGUGUGCGCGGAUUCGACCCCGUGCGUGCCGGAGCUAACGCGUUAAGCGAGCCGCCUGGGGAGUACGGCCGCAAGGCUAAAACUCAAAGAAAUUGACGGGGACCCGCACAAGCGGUGGAGUAUGUGGCUUAAUUCGAUGCAACGCGAAGAACCUUACCUGGGCUUGACAUUCUUGUCGUAGUCUUGUGAAAGCAGGACGUCAGUUCGGCUGGACUUGAACAGGUGCUGCAUGGCUGUCGUCAGCUCGUGUCGUGAGAUGUUGGGUUAAGUCCCGCAACGAGCGCAACCCCCGUGGUCUGUUGCCAGCACGUAAUGGUGGGGACUCUGACCAGACUGCCCAGAUCAACUGGGAGGAAGGUGGGGACGACGUCAAGUCAGUAUGGCCCUUACGCCCAGGGCUGCACACGUACUACAAUGCCUAGCACAAUGUGAACCGAUACCGCGAGGUGGAGGAAAUCCUAAAAACUAGGCUCAGUUCGGAUUGGAGGCUGCAACUCGCCUCCAUGAAGUCGGAAUCGCUAGUAAUGCCGUAUCAGCUACGACGGCGUGAAUACGUUCCCGGGUCUUGU
rnacentral:rRNA from 1 species